AAACAGUACGUGAAACCGCAUGCAGGUAAACGGGUGGCGUCAAGCUGCAAGCCCGGAGGAUUCAGCUGGCUAGGAUGUUGUGUAUGCGCCUGGCGCAUCUAUCAGCCGGAGUAAGAUGUGAUAGUCCACUGGUAAACGGUGGGCCCGGCCGCAAGGUUGGGAUAUGUGUACCGGGCGGAAGCCGGAGCAUGCUAUUCGUCUGUUGGGCUGUCUAGUCAGUGCACUUUCUCUGUGGUGAACACCACGACCGGUGGAAUUGCCAGUCUGCUGUAGUCAAGUCGUAUUCAGUCGGUUCUUGUAGCCAACUGGGUGCGAUCACAGGCAAACUCAGUAAACGGCGUAGGGGUGUCUCGGCAUCCUUGCGUGUUAUCGGCUGCUGGUUGUCAACGGGCCUGCCUGAUGAUUGUUGUAACCGUCAUUGGGUGGUCUGGUGGGCUAUGGUGGUAAGAAUAACUGUGCAAGGCAUCGGAGUUCUCGGCCUCAAAUGCAUCCUGCAUACACGUUACAAGUGGAGUGGGGUGCCAUUGCAGCCUGCCUGUUGUUGGGUCUGAUUGUCGUGUCGCCUGCGCAAAGUGGGCCCGGCAGUGGCCUGAUGCGGGAUGGGUUGUGGAUGGUGCUUCCUGUGUAGGGUGCGGUGGGUCAAAUAGUCA
rnacentral:rRNA from 1 species